UCUCUAACCCUAAUUUUGCUGCAGAUGAGAAACGAGCGUCCUCUUCCUUUAUCAUGCGACGCCGACCACAUGUCGUUUCCGCUUCUUCGCAUUGAUUGAAACGGUCUUAGUAAAUGCUUUGUGAUCAAUCCGAAUGGUUCUCUCCCCCACUAUGUCAUCUUCAAUGCUUUUCCGAUCUGAAAGGCGGUGGUGUUUGGGUAUAAAUAUGGAAUUUUUUCCUCUGAUCCGAAGGCCAGGAACGUUUGAUGCGGUGGUAAACUCAGGGAGUGAAUAUGCUCUUAUUGGAUUGACAGGUACAUUUCGGCCGCUGCACAUACUUCUUCUUACGCCUCUUAAACGGUGUCUCAUGUAGCUGCAUCGGCGGUUUGCGUAUGCACUACCCAAUGUCAGCUGGAGAGAAGAAAAUCCAAGAGAGCCAUGUUGAAGCAGAUCACAUCGACAUUAUAGCUUUUGCCAAAUCUGCACGUAAUACUCUUAAGUCCUAUAUCAUACACAAAUUUAGAGACAUAAAAAGAGGUCGUGCUUUUCUUUCUCUCUGUAUACACUUGAAUAUGCAAUAGGAGGAAUUAAAAAUAUUUUUGUGUUGUUAUUCUAUGUUAUCAGAAAAUACAGAACUCUGAGCAAAUAGUUGUUCUUCUUCUUUGAUGUAGUUGAACACAGUUUUGUAUUUUUGAAAUGACUUUUACGGCCAAUAUCAUAAAUACAACUUGCAAUGAGUAUUUACGGCUAUGUCUUUGAAAGACUCUUCUGGCGAAAAUAAUAUAUUAAUAUGGCUGUCCACUGAAAGGAAUUUAUUUGUAUUUUGAGUGUUUACUGAUUCUCAUAACCUUUACAAUAUAUCUAUGAGCUUGAUGUUGGUAUGUAACAGUGACAUGAAGGCUUUGAAUUGCUUAAUCUGUCUAUCUAAAUAAAUAAAAUGAUUGUCAGUUUGUUUCUAUAGAAACAGGUGUAUGUUCCUAGAUUACCCAAGAAAGAAGGCUACAUGUAAAAUUUUAUUCUGCAACAGCUUCUUUAGGUGGUGGAUAUGAUGCACAGUCUGAACAAACUUCAGGAAAGUUGUCUUUAAGAAAACACUGAAGCUAAAUGCAAAGAGGAAAAACUAAUUGUGGCCACAAUCAGCAUUGACUAAGUACACAACUCCUAGGAUUGGAUUGUAAUCAAGUAGCAUCUAUUUUGUAAAUAUGAAAUCACUCAGCUGUUAUAUGUGGUUUUAGUGUAGAAAGAUAUGAAAUAAUCAAACGUAACCGCAACUAAGAAUUAUUUUUACAUUUUCAAUAUGACUAAACCUCCACAACUAUUUUAGAUCAUAAAUAUAAAAAAAAAAACAAUUCACCCUUACAAUGAAGACACACUCGAGCUUUACAUUCAUAUGCUAUGUAUCGGUCAAUCAAAAUUUAAUUUCCGUCUAAGACACAUUCCGUAGUUAUAA